rnacentral:rRNA from 1 species
GGAUUGAACGCUGGCGGCAUGCUUUACACAUGCAAGUCGAACGGUAACAGGCCGCAAGGUGCUGACGAGUGGCGAACGGGUGAGUAAUGUAUCGGAACGUGCCCAGUCGUGGGGGAUAACGCAGCGAAAGCUGCGCUAAUACCGCAUACGAUCUAAGGAUGAAAGCGGGGGACUUCGCAAGAGGCCUCGCGCGAUUGGAGCGGCUGAUAUCAGAUUAGGUUGUUGGUGAGGUAAAAGCUCACCAAGCCGACGAUCUGUAGCUGGUUUGAGAGAACGACCAGCCACACUGGGACUGAGACACGGCCCAGACU